CUUUUCAGCUCCCUCGCGCACCACACUGAUACCAGAGCUGGAAGAUGACAUCAUCUUCCGUCUCUGGUAUCAGUACGUGGUGCGCGAGGGAGCUGAAGAG